rfam:Ictidomys tridecemlineatus contig091553, whole genome shotgun sequence.
AGGGUUGUGGCUCAGUGGUAGAGCACUUGUCUACCAUGUGUGAGGCACUGGGUUCAAUUCUCAGCACCACAU